GACGUAGUGGCUCAGCGGUUAAGGCUUUGGACUUCUGAUCAGAAGGUCAUGAGUUCAAAGCCUAGUGCUGCCA